AUUGAACGCUGGCGGCAGGCCUAACACAUGCAAGUCGAGCGGAUGAGUGGAGCUUGCUCCCUGAUUCAGCGGCGGACGGGUGAGUAAUGCCUAGGAAUCUGCCUGGUAGUGGGGGACAACGUUUCGAAAGGAACGCUAAUACCGCAUACGUCCUACGGGAGAAAGUGGGGGAUCUUCGGACCUCACGCUAUCAGAUGAGCCUAGGUCGGAUUAGCUAGUUGGUGAGGUAAAGGCUCACCAAGGCGACGAUCCGUAACUGGUCUGAGAGGAUGAUCAGUCACACUGGAACUGAGACACGGUCCAGACUCCUACGGGAGGCAGCAGUGGGGAAUAUUGGACAAUGGGCGAAAGCCUGAUCCAGCCAUGCCGCGUGUGUCAAGAAGGUCUUCGGAUUGUAAAGCACUUUAAGUUGGGAGGAAGGGCAGUAAGUUAAUACCUUGCUGUUUUGACGUUACCAACAGAAUAAGCACCGGCUAACUUCGUG
rnacentral:rRNA from 1 species